CUCAAGACGCGCUUCUUUUUGGAUGCAUACUCGAGCCUCUUAAACUCAUCCGCCCAGCGAUUGACCGACGGCUCUUCCCGAGUCGGCUGGGUUAGGCUUCUUAGCUUUGGAAAAGGACGGCUGGAAAACCGACAAAAAAGGACGCUGGGGUCUUUCGCCAUGUGACUGCCAGCUGCCACGUGGAGGAGGAGAAGAAGAAGAAGAAGAAGGCGACGAAUCCGCAAAGAAAGUCACAAUGCGGCGAGAGUGAGAGACAGAAGCCAACUAUUGCGCAGAUGACAACCUGACUACCUUGUACCUGAGCAUAAAAUACAAGAACAUGUGUUCGUACAGCAUUCCCAACAAGAGACCAGACACCUUCGCCAAGGCCAAACAAGCAAUUGCAUUAUGUACGUGUAUACGAUACUGUACGUCUCCAAAGAGAUGUCGUAUCUGGUGUUGACUUUGCCCGAAGGUAAACCAGUUACACUGAAAAGAAGCGAGCGAUUUGCGGAAACCAAUAUGCUCCCUUGAUUGUUAUCAAUGCUUGGACAGCCCGCUGUACAAGGUAUGUUGCCCUUUUUCCUGAUUACCACACUCAAACGCGUCUCCCUCAAUCAAAUAAAUCAACUACAAUUGAA